UGAAGAGCAGAACCACAAGACAUGUGGCUCUGGAGCAGCUGACUACCUGGUACUGGGAAUGGCUCCUUCUCCUAUUUCCCAGCAAUUGCCCUCAACAUGAGUUGGAUCAACGUGAUUUUGAAGCCUGAUUUGCAGUGGAGAAGAAAACCUCCUUGCCGGGAAGAGAAGAAGAAAAAUAGCAAAUGGAGUUAAGGGCCAGUCCUGCUCCUUGCCUAUUAAUUAAAGCCUCAGAGGCACUGCCUGAAUAGAGCUGCACUGUUAUUGGAGACUUCAGGCAGUAAAAGCAAGAGAGAUUCUCCUCUUUUCUCUUUCUUGGGCAUACAUGCUUAAGAAAAAAAAUAAGAAAAGGCAGUCAAAUGAGUUUCUCGCUUUUGUUUCAUCAGUGCAAUCUCACUAUCUCUUUUUCUUUGUUCUUCACUUUAGAGAACGAGGAGAAGAAGGAGGAGGAGGAGGAGGAGGAAAUAAAUCUUUCUGCAUGUGGAGAUUGUAACAAUCUAGUGUGCACUCUCCCCAUGUCAGAUUGACAAGCACCACUAUUAUUUAAUUACAGAGACUCCACUUACACACUUUGAGGCUGUGAUUCUCAUAGCCAUAGGACCACACCAAGCUAGGGAAGAUGGAAUCUGCAAACUGAUAGAAGCGUGGAAGCACAGGCAAUAGUUUAAGCAUAUGAGCAAGAGAAAGUCUAAAUCUAUAAAACACAGCUAAUCCCAGUCCAUAUCUCUUGUAUAAAUGUAUCAAAAUUAAGAAAGAAAAAAAAAA